AUGGCCCCGCUGCCGCCCCUCCCCCACCCGCUUUUGGGGCGAUUUCCCGGGAAUUUGGGGAGGCCCCGCCCCCUUUGGGUGGGGAAGGGGGCGGGGCCAAAGCCGGAAAGGAGGAGCCAAAAAAAUUCGGGAAUUUUGGGGGUGAAAAAUCGGGAAUUUGGGGGUUUCAAAAAAUGGGAAUUUUUAGGGGGAAAUUUGCGGAUUUUGAGGGAACAUUUGGGAAUUUUGUGGGGAAAUUGGGGGCGGGGAAUGAGAAAAUUGGGAUUUUUCACGAAAUUAUGGAAUUUUGGUGAGAAAAUUGGGGAUUUUGGGGGAAAUUUGGGGGAAAAUGGGGAAUUUUGGGGGAAAAAAAUCGGGAUUUUUGGGAAAAUCAAAGAGAAGAGUUGGGAGUCCUCCGAGCGGGGCAGAGCGGCUCCAACCGGAAGUGGCAUCAAAGGGAAAGCCUGGAUGGCGGCGCGGACCGGAAGUUACCAUAGAGACGCUGAGGGCUCGUUACGCGUAACGGGAGCCGCUGCUCAAAACGCUGAAGGAGAAAAAAGACGACCCAAAAAAGCCCCAAAAAGGAGAAAUCGUGGCGCAAUCGUGACGCAACGGUGACGUCAAACCGGAUUUAGAGACAGUUUUGGGUUUAAAUUCGCGUUUUUUGGGACUUUUCGCGUCCAGCUGGCUGCGGUUUUCCCGCCUACUUCCGCUUGGUGUCGCUUCUAUUCCCUCCCCCCCGCGCUCACUUCCGGUGCCGCCCGCGGUGAGUCCCCCACCGGCCGUUUUUCACCGUUUUUUCACCGAUUUUCCCCAUUUUUUUUGCACCGGUGUCCACUCUGUGGCCGGACAAUGCCCCAACCCCUCCGGCCACGUCCGGCCGAGCGCGUCCGGCAGCGCUGGCGGCGUUUGCGGCGGGCGGCGCGGGCGCUGGUGCUGGAGAACGCGGCCCUGUGCGACGAGCUGGCCCGGCUGGAGGCCAAGUGGACACUGGCCAGGGGUCAGCGGCGAUUCCUGCUCGGACGCCUGCUCGGACAUCGCAGUGGUCACUCGGCCCCUCCGGCCGCGGCCACAGAGGUCAAGCGGCCAAAGAGGGCGCGGCCGGCCGGGGGGCGGGGCCGGGGAGGGAGGGGCGGGGCCAGGGAGGAGCAGUGGUCAGUUGGGGAGAAGAGUGACCAGUGGUCAGCGGGAUCGAAGGGUGACCAGUGGUCAGCAAACUCCAAAAAUGACCAAUGGUCAGCGGGAUCGAAGAGUGACCAAUGGUCAGCAAACUCCAAGAGUGACCAGUGGUCAGCAGGCCCCAAGGAUGACCAGUGGUCAGUGGCCGUGAAGAAGGAGCAGUGGUCACCCGGAUCGAAGAGUGACCAGUGGUCAGCAAGCUCAAAAAAUGACCAGUGGUCAGCGGGGCCGAAGAGUGACCAGUGGUCAGCGGGGCCCAAGGAUGACCAGUGGUCAGCGGAGGUCAAGAUCGAGCAGUGGUCACCCGGAUCGAAGAGUGACCAGUGGUCAGCAGAAUCCAAGAAUGACCAGUGGUCAGCAGAAUCCAAGAAUGACCAGUGGUCAGUCGGCUCCAAGAAUGACCAGUGGUCAAGCGGGCUCCGGCCGGGAGAUGACCACAAGGGCAGCGCUGACCGCUCGGGGCGGCCGGAGGAGGAGGAGGAGGACGAGGAUGACCACGAGGAUGACCACGAUGACCACGAGGAUGACCACGAGGAUGACCACGAGGAUGACCACGAUGACCACGAGGAUGACCACUGA
rnacentral:lncRNA from 1 species